AUUGAACGCUGGCGGCAGGCCUAACACAUGCAAGUCGAGCGGAUGAAGGGAGCUUGCUCCUGGAUUCAGCGGCGGACGGGUGAGUAAUGCCUAGGAAUCUGCCUGGUAGUGGGGGAUAACGUCCGGAAACGGGCGCUAAUACCGCAUACGUCCUGAGGGAGAAAGAGGGGGAUCUUCGGACCUCACGCUAUCAGAUGAGCCUAGGUCGGGUUAGCUAGUUGGUGGGGUAAAGGCCUACCAAGGCGACGAUCCGUAACUGGUCUGAGAGGAUGAUCAGUCACACUGGAACUGAGACACGGUCCAGACUCCUACGGGAGGCAGCAGUGGGGAAUAUUGGACAAUGGGCGAAAGCCUGAUCCAGCCAUGCCGCGUGUGUGAAGAAGGUCUUCGGAUUGUAAAGCACUUUAAGUUGGGAGGAAGGGCAGUAAGUUAAUACCUUGCUGUUUUGACGUUACCAACAGAAUAAGCACCGGCUAACUUCGUG
rnacentral:rRNA from 1 species